rnacentral:tRNA from 1 species
UUUGUGUAACGGUAGCACACCGGACUCUGACUCCGUUUGCGGGGGUUCGAAUCCCACUCUCUCC